UGCAGAGAUUAUGAUCAAAAGGUGGUUUAUAGACAGUUGCAAAAAAUAAAUCCUCUUUUGCAACCCAGAGCUCAUUGUUCAGUAGGAGUUUUGAUACAGAUAAGAAGGAACAUG